AGAGAUUCUGUCAACAACAAAUUGUACUUUUAUUAAGUUUUCUUAGGUUCUAAACUGUCUCACUCCUUAACCCCCCUUUUUCCCUAUACACUCCUAACCUUUUGCCCCUCACCCUUAUCUCUCACAUCUCUCCUUUGUUUAACAUAUGUUGAUAGAGACACCCCCAAUGAUGACACCCCCCACAUACUCCUCCAUAAACCCUUACCCUUUCUCCCCCUGCUGUGUUCAAAGCAGUUUCUCCUGUAUGUAAAGUCCUGCUAAAAUGUCUUAGUAGCUCAGUCUAGUUGAGUCUCACUCAGUUCAGUCAAGCUCAGUCUAGUUGAGUCUCGGUCAGAGAGUCUCACACAGACAGUAACAGACAGACAAGUCACAUGGACUAGUCAGGCGGACACAGAGGGAGCAACGACCAACUAAGCUGUGCCCGUGUAGAUUUUCUGUCUGCACGAGAAUAAACUCAAGUCAUCUCUCAAGCUGUCUCCUGAUUCCUGAUUCUGACUCCUGAUUCCUGAAAGCCGAAUUUCUAACAACUUGGUGCCGUGACCCGGAUGGCCUACUGAAACCUACUUGAUCUGUUGGAGCCAGACAGUGCUCCAGCCAAUCCAGCAUGGCGAGAACAAUUUGUGACGUGUCGGACGCAAGCCUCAACAGUUGAAGAGACAACUGAUGUUCAAAGUGGACUUCCCAGAUUACUUGCCUUUCACCGACGUUGAAGCACACGCCAUGGACAUCCACACGCACACACACACACACACACACAAUGUGGCUGCUCACAAGUUAAAGUGGCGAUGUAAGAGGAGACAUCACCACAUGGAAGCAAGCCUAUUGGACAACCACAGACAACUACUGGAACUACUUUCUUCAUUGUUCUUCAGGAACAUUUUUAGGACCAAGUAACAGCCAUAAACAGAUCCAAUACUUGGUUACAUCAACUUUUCUGACAUUUAUGGUACAAUUACAGUUGUAUAGUUACAGCUCUUUAAUUGUUUAUACAUAUGACAAUUUAUUGUACAUAGUUUUGUGAUUCUCCAUGUUGGGAGAAUCAGAGGGAGCAAUGAGAGAUUCUGUCAACAACAAAUUGUACUUUUAUUAAGUUUUCUUAGGUUCUAAACUGUCUCACUCCUUAACCCCCCUUUUUCCCUAUACACUCCUAACCUUUUGCCCCUCACCCUUAUCUCUCACAUCUCUCCUUUGUUUAACAUAUGUUGAUAGAGACACCCCCAAUGAUGACACCCCCCACAUACUCCUCCAUAAACCCUUACCCUUUCUCCCCCUGCUGUGUUCAAAGCAGUUUCUCCUGUAUGUAAAGUCCUGCUAAAAUGUCUUAGUAGCUCAGUCUAGUUGAGUCUCACUCAGUUCAGUCAAGCUCAGUCUAGUUGAGUCUCGGUCAGAGAGUCUCACACAGACAGUAACAGACAGACAAGUCACAUGGACUAGUCAGGCGGACACAGAGGGAGCAACGACCAACUAAGCUGUGCCCGUGUAGAUUUUCUGUCUGCACGAGAAUAAACUCAAGUCAUCUCUCAA